AUACUCCUCUCAAUAUUGAUUUGAGCGGCAAUCACCAAUUCCCUUUCUCUUUCCGUCUUCUCAAAAUAAAAAACCCUAAAUCUCAGCCGUCAUCCACAUUCUCACUUAUUUCCAUUUUCCUUUCAUCCGCCAUUCACAACCCUAAUAAUCAUCUACAACAUCUGUGGUGAUUUCAUCCUAUAAUCUGAUUCAGAUCCUAUCAAAAUUGUUUCCUUUCACAAAUACUUAAUCUGGAGGAGGCGAUUGUCAUGGAAGUGAUUAUUCAAAACCCUAAAUCGUAACAAGAUGAACUGCAUCCAGUGUCAAUCUACACUAUUAAGAAGAAGGAUGAGACCGAGAGGGUUGUCAAGGCCACCUUUAUAUAUAGAAGAAGAUUUAAUGUCAAGUUAUGGAGUACUAACUAGGAGAAAGGCAACCAUUGUACGACUUGAGACUCUUAUUUGGCUCCAACUUAGUGGUACACAUGGAUGAUAUCUUGCAUUCCCUUCCUCUUCGGCUUUGAGAAGAAAGGUUGCGAUGCCUCUUCUACCAUGCAAAAUUGAAAGUUUAUGCACAGAUACGAAAUCAUAUUAUUAUUAUUUUUUUGCAUAGUUUUAUUUCAUGAUUUUAAAGUUUGGUUUUAUUCUCUAUAAUUGUUUUCACUAAUUGAAAAAAAUCAUAAUGGAACAAUGGUUUCAUUCGUAUACAAAUGCUAAUUUAGGAUUUUUUUUGUUUUGUUGAAGAGGUAAUUCUUCGACGAGGAAAUGGCAGUUGUAAAAGAAUAACACUGACUGUUUCAUAUAAUAAGAAACGAAGCAAGAGAAAAAGAGUAACUAUCUUUGUUGGGAACCAGUUCCUACAUGAAGCUCAAGAAAGGUAGGGUUUGUGCUUUGAAUUGAAGGUUAUAUGGAUCUUAUUUGAUUCACAUCAAUGUAGAAAAAAAGGCCCAUGCUGCUUCAGCCGUGCUAAAUUUCAGCAAGAACUGCAACCCUGAUAUCUUCACCCUUUACUUGGAUGGAAUAAUGAGCAAGUUACUUGUAUUAUUACAGAAUCUAGAAUGGUAAGCAAAUGGUAUAAGAAGGGGUCUUGACUGCUCUAGCAUCCGUUGCUGACUCAUCACAGGAACACUUCCAAAAGUACUAUAAUGCAGUUAUGCCUUAUUUAAAAGCUAUAUUAGUUAAUGCAAAUGAUAAAGCUAAUUGUAUGCUUAGAGCGAAAGCCAUGGAAUGCAUUAGUUUGGUUGGAAUGGCUGUUGGGAAGGAAAAAUUCAGAGACGAUGCUAAGCAGGUAUGUUUCUAGAAAAAAUGAUGAUCUAUAUGGGCUUCAAUGCGGUAGAUAUUAUAUGUUUGUGUUAAGCCACCCGCGAAACUCGCGGGAUCUUAG